rnacentral:misc_RNA from 1 species
AUCUACACAUAUACACAAGAACAAUUAUUGAUAAGAGAUAUUAGUGCCAGCACAGUUUUCAAUCAAGUGCAAUGAAACGACUGAUGGUUUUUACAUGUCAUGUGAUAAAGAAUCGACCUAUACAGUGCCAAACCAUCUCAGCAAUAUCUACAAUUUAGUAUCAUAUCAUUACAGAAAAUUUACCAAUUUAUGCUAACCUCCAACAGUUCAGUUAUAUGAGGAUAAAGACUGGGCAGCCAUAUCAAAAUUUUUUUAGAUCAUCGGAUGAAGCACACCAACAGAAAUUCAAG